rnacentral:rRNA from 1 species
UCCACGCCGUAAACGAUGGAUGCUAGGUGUCGGGGGUUUACCUUCGGUGCCGCAGUAAACGCAUAAGCAUCCCCGGGGAGUACGCCAGCUGAAACUCAAAGGAAUGCGGGGCCCACAAGCGGGAGUAUGUGGUUUAAUUCGAUGCAACGCGAAGAACCUUACCUGGGUUUGACAUCCUCGGAACCUCUUUUAAACGGGAGGGUGCCCUUCGGGGAGCCGAGUGACAGGUGCUGCAUGGCUGUCGUCAGCUCGUGCCGUGAGGUGUUGGGUUAAGUCCCGCAACGAGCGCAACCCUUGAUCUUAGUUGCCAGCACAUGAAGGUGGGCACUCUAAGGUGACUGCCCGGGGGUUCAACNCGGGAGGAAGGUGGGGACGACGUCAAGUCAUCAUGGCCCUUACGCCCAGGGCUACACACGUACUACAAUGGCGGAUACAGAGGGACGCAAGACCGCGAGGUGGAGCCAAUCCCAAAAAGUCCGUCCCAGUUCGAAUUGGAGUCUGCAACUCGACUCCAUGAAGGUGGAAUCGCUAGUAAUCCCGGAUCAGCAUGCCAGGGUGAUACGUUCCCGGGCCUUGUACACACCGCCCGUCACACCACGAAAGCUGGUUCUACCCGAAGCCGGCGAGCCAACCUUAGGGAGGCAGUCGUCUACGGUAGGGCUG